GACGGAGGGUGCAAACGUUGUUCGGAAUCACUGGGCAUAAAGAGCACGUAGGCUGCGCGCUAAGUCAGGGGUGAAAUCCCGGGGCUCAACCCCGGAACUGCCUUUGAUACUGGGUAUCUCGAGUCCGAGAGAGGUGAGUGGAAUUCCGAGUGUAGAGGUGAAAUUCGUAGAUAUUCGGAGGAACACCAGUGGCGAAGGCGGCUCACUGGCUCGGUACUGACGCUGAGGUGCGAAAGCGUGGGGAGCAAACAGG
rnacentral:rRNA from 1 species